CGGCGCCUAGUCAGCAGGAACUGCAACUGCAUCUCUAAUGCACCAGGCCAGGUGUGUAGACACAGCACAGUCAUUCUUCUCCCACUCACACCGUGGAAGUAGUUUCUCUUUGGGCAUGCUGCCAGCAGCUGUGAAUAGCCUCAUGGGUGAGCCCUUUCUCAUGGAGUGACUCCAUUCCUGGACAGUAUUUAUACAAACGGUUUAGCAUCGUAAUAUACGGUGUUACUUCCUACUUCUCUACAGUAAAUUCUGUUAUUUUUUUACAAGCUUGUGCUGUAAAUGGAUGUGUCCUGCUGCAGGAGUAGAGGCUGGUGGGACACCUGCUCUGCCCCAGUGGGGUGCCACGCCUUCAAGGGACUUUGCCAUUUACACCGUGGAAUUCCUCCAGGUACAUAGUAGCGGCUAUUGCCAAAACAGCCACUGUGAGCGAGAAAUGGUUUCUGCUUUUCUAGCAUGCUGGGAGUACCAGCUAGGCAAGAACCUAUAAAGCAAGAGCUACCUGAAGCCGGAACCCUGGAGAAAGAUCCGAGAGCAGAAACAGACAUGGAUUUGUGUCCUUGUGCAGGUCUGAAGCUCUCCAGCUGCCGGCAACAAGAGUGCUUUACACUAGGCUCGAUGCUUUCAUGACAUGCGAGUGCAGUUGCUCCAAGCACUGCUGGGACAGCCGCCAGUCAGUGCCGAUGAGUGCAAUAUCCUUCCGCCUGCAAGCAAAUAGGGUCUUUGUUAAAGGGACGUAAAACGGAGCAUUGACAUCCUCACCCAGGAGAAGAGGGUGGAGUGUGAACGUGGGCAACUGCUCAGUGGCCUAAAUGGACCUUCAUGGAAGCCACCACCUACCCGACUCCACCCCCAGAGCCGGCCCCAGGAAGCCUCUUCUGUUUGGGGAAAGGGGAAUGGAAUGGUGUAGCCUUUCCUGCUCGGUGUGUAAAAAAUGUAGCUAACUCCGCACUUUUUGCUCCCUUUAGCUGUUCUCUAAACCGGUUGCUCAUUUUACACGUGC